rnacentral:rRNA from 1 species
CCAUACGACCGUACCGCAAACCGACACUGGUGCGCGAGAUGAGUAUUCUAAGGCGCUUGAGAGAACUCAGGAGAAGGAACUCGGCAAAUUGACACCGUAACUUCGGAAGAAGGUGUGCCCUAUUAGUGUGUAGUGAACAACGAAGCAUGAAUGGGUUGCAAAAAAUCGGUGGCUGCGACUGUUUAUUAAAAACACAGCACUCUGCAAACACGAAAGUGGACGUAUAGGGUGUGACGCCUGCCCGGUGCUGGAAGAUUAAAUGAUGGGGUGCAAGCUCUUGAUUGAAGUCCCAGUAAACGGCGGCCGUAACAAUAACGGUCCUAAGGUAGCGAAAUUCCUUGUCGGGUAAGUUCCGACCUGCACGAAUGGCGUAACGAUGGCCACACUGUCUCCUCCUGAGACUCAGCGAAGUUGAAAUGUUUGUGAUGAUGCAAUCUCCCCGCGGAAAGACGGAAAGACCCCAUGAACCUUUACUGUAGCUUUGUAUUGGACUUUGAACAGAUCUGUGUAGGAUAGGUGGGAGGCUUUGAAGCAGGGUCGCUAGAUCUUGUGGAGCCAACGUUGAAAUACCACCCUGGUGUGUUUGAGGUUCUAACCUAGGUCCAUUAUCUGGAUCGGGGACAGUGCAUGGUAGGCAGUUUGACAGGGGCGGUCUCCUCCCAAAGCGUAACGGAGGAGUUCGAAGGUACGCUAGUUACGGUCGGACAUCGUGACGAUAGUGCAAUGGCAUAAGCGUGCUUAACUGCGAGACUGACAAGUCGAGCAGAUGCGAAAGCAGGACAUAGUGAUCCGGUGGUUCUGUAUGGAAGGGCCAUCGCUCAACGGAUAAAAGGUACUCUGGGGAUAACAGGCUGAUACCGCCCAAGAGUUCAUAUCGACGGCGGUGUUUGGCACCUCGAUGUCGGCUCAUCUCAUCCUGGGGCUGUAGCCGGUCCCAAGGGUAUGGCUGUUCGCCAUUUAAAGAGGUACGUGAGCUGGGUUUAAAACGUCGUGAGACAGUUUGGUCCCUAUCUUCCGUGGGCGCUGCAGAUUUGAGGAAGCCUGCUCCUAGUACGAGAGGACCGGAGUGGACACACCUCUGUGUAUCGGUUGUCACGCCAGUGGCAUUGCCGAGUAGCUAAGUGUGGAAGAGAUAACCGCUGAAAGCAUCUAAGCGGGAAACUCGUUUCAAGAUGAGAUCUGCCGGGGCCUUGAGCCCCCUAAAGAGUCGUUCAAGACCAGGACGUUGAUAGGUCAGGUGUGGAAGUG